UGUCUUUUAUCAUAUAGAUAGUGGAAAGGCAUACAAUAGGUUCUCUUCAGAGUGGGGAGAAGGAAUAAAUGAAAAGCUUGAGAUAAGGAGACAUGCCUUGGAAGCAUAUUGUUAUUUAAGUUGAAGUAAAAUACAGUAUAUUAAGUGCAAGCAGGGCUGGCCCAAGAGUGAGUGGGGCUUAAAGUAAACUCUGAGGGAGACCUGCCUUGGAAGCAUAUUGUUAUUUAAGUUGAAGUAAAAUACAGUAUAUUAAGUGCAAGCAGGGCUGGCCCAAGAGUGAGUGGGGCUUAAAGUAAACUCUGAAGGACCUUUUUGCUUUAAGUGAGAGGGUUUUGAGCUGAGUCUCUUUAUUAGCACAUGUCACCAAAAAAAAAAGAACACCUUAUAAGUGAAAAUUAGAGAAAAUCCGACGAGUCUCAUGGUUUAAGUGUCUCACAGGUCUAUCAUAAAAAUGACGAGAGAUAGAGGCAAAUGUCAACCAUAAGAUCCAUGCAUGGUGG
rnacentral:lncRNA from 1 species